rnacentral:rRNA from 1 species
AGCGAACGCUGGCGGCAGGCCUAACACAUGCAAGUCGAGCGGGCACCGCAAGGUGUCAGCGGCAGACGGGAGAGUAACACGUGGGAACGUGCCCUUUGGUUCGGGACAACUCCGGGAAACUGGAGCUAAUACCGGAUAAGCCCUUACGGGGAAAGAUUUAUCGCCAAAGGAGCGGCCCGCGUCGGAUUAGCUAGUUGGUGAGGUAAUGGCUCACCAAGGCGACGAUCCGUAGCUGGUCUAAGAGGAUGAUCAGCCUCACUGGGACUGAGACACGGCCCAGACUCCUACGGGAGGCAGCAGUGGGGAAUAUUGGACAAUGGGCGCAAGCCUGAUCCAGCCAUGCCGCGUGGAUGAUGAAGCCUUAGGGUUGUAAAGUCCUUUUAACGGGGAAGAUAAUGACGGUACCCGUAGAAUAAGCCCCGGCUAACUUCGUGCCAGCCGCCGCCGU